UUUUAUGGGUUUUUAGUUCCUCUUCUCUCCUUUUUGUUUUAUGUUUUCUUAGCUUGAAAUUUUGUGGGUCUGGUCGAUGAGUUUUUUUAUGUUGGUUUUUAAAUUUUUACUGCUUGAUUUUUUUUGGGUGGUGGUUUUGUGUAAUGUGUAAAUAUUUAUACUAUUAAUCUAGAGAUUUUUGCCCAGUCUAUGUAGUUUAUUGAUAGAUUAUUCACCAUUAACUCUUUUUCUUCUCCUCAAUGCCAUGACAAAUUGACAAGGAUGAGUUAAAUAUCCUUAAAGAAAAUUAAAGUAAUAUGAAAACAGGCAUUUUCCACAUGUAGAUCUAAACAGAAGAGGGCAAUGAAGAAAAUGUAAAGAAGGGAAACUAGGCCAUGGUAGAAGUUAGGCUAAGAUUAAUGCCUAGUUUGGCAUUGCUGUUAGAAAAAGCUCGAGUUGGCAAAAGCACCUUUCUAUGUGCUUCUGCAGUUGGAGAAAGAUCAUGGUCUAAAAAAGUGCUUUUAAACCUAAAAUUAGAUGAUAUUUGACAUUGUGUUAAUUGUUAAAGGUUGUUUUUUUUUUAUAAUCAAAUGCAAUGUCAAACUCUUGUCUUAGCUUAAAAGGAGAAAAACCAUUACCAAAACUAAGAAUGGCUACGUGCAAGCCCUUAUUUAUGCUCAAGAUUAGCUACAUGGGCUUUCCUAUUAUCUUCAUGACACUAAGAAUAAUUUGGUAGAGCUUGAGAAAGUUGCUGAAGAAGAGAGGAUAGGGGUGCUGUUAGAGCAUAUAUUGGUGUGUUGGAUCUUACCAACAAAAAAAGUGAAUUGGGCUUGCCGUUCUUACUUCUGAAAUGAGUGCUUCUAGUGCUAAUGUGCCUACUGCUGCAAAUCCAACCCAAGCACCUGCCAUUGCACUUCCCUUUGUUGCACCACCCUCGUCUCCUGCAUCUUUCCUUCCAUCUGAACCCCCCUUUGCUACACAGUCUCUAACUUUUUUAGUGUCUCUCACCUCUAUUUCUGCUAGUAUGUACUCUCCAUGGCCUAAUUUAAGGGUACAACCUAUUUGUUGAAGACUAUUUGUUGUUGUUUUUAUCUAUUGUUAAAUACUGUUAAUGAUUUGUUGUUAUUCACUCAAGAUUAUUUAUUGUUGUUUCUAUCAA